GUGUUUUAUUAUCAUUUCUGUACAUGCAAAACCAUAUCGGUACAACGAAAUUCAACGCUAUCAAACCGCUCGGCUCGCGGUCGGCUCGUCGGCGAGUAUAAAUGGACCUUUAAAGUCGGUAUCGAUAACUUCCUGGAAUCGUUCGUGCAUGCUGCAACCAUGAUUUGUUCGAAGCCAGCCAGUUCAAUCACUCGGUUCUUCGCGCUUGGUUCUUUUUACAUAGAUAAGUUAAGCGUUGAUACUCCCUUAUCAGCGUUGAUAAGAUUUCGGUUUUUGUACGAAUAGCGGAUAGGUUGACAACGUGAACGAAGGAAGAACGGACGUGCCGAGCAACUUCGAUCACUUUCCACGUGGAAUUUCACGCCUACGUGGAACCGGCGGAGCAUCGAAGUCAACUGAAAUCUCAAUGAGCGGGUUGUUGCAUUUUAUGCGGAUUAUUGAAACUACAAAGGCGCUUUCGUUGAGCACAUAUUAUAAUAAAAAUUGCACAAAGACUAAAUAAACGCAAUCUUACGAUUUU